UAAAUUGACUUAGCGGCGGACGGGUAAGUAACGCGUGGGUAACCUGCCUUACACUGGGGGAUAACAGUUAGAAAUGACUGCUAAUACCGCAUAAGCGCACAGGGCCGCAUGGUCUGGUGUGAAAAACUCCGGUGGUGUAAGAUGGACCCGCGUCUGAUUAGGUAGUUGGUGGGGUAACGGCCCACCAAGCCGACGAUCAGUAGCCGACCUGAGAGGGUGACCGGCCACAUUGGGACUGAGACACGGCCCAAACUCCUACGGGAGGCAGCAUG
rnacentral:rRNA from 1 species